CAUUUUUAUAUGAAAACAUAUAUAUAUUUAAAAUGAAGAAUUCAUAUGGAUCAUAGAUAAAAUAUUUCCAGUUCCUAUUUUCCUCAAGACUCAUAUGGCUAUUCUAGCCCCCAGUUUUUGUGCUUUUCUUGUUCUCAUUCUUCUAACAGGUGGCAUAGCAGAUACCAACUUGGGUCCCACACAGAUGGACAACAUGGCUGCAGCUGGACUAGAUUUAGCAAAUAAUUUGAUCAACGUAGAUUAUGAUUAUCAAUGUCAAGCUAAUUUAGGGCCAUGCAAUUAUGAGUAUUGCAAUAUGGAUUGUUGUAUUAAGCAGUGUCGUAACUACUAUAAUGGACUUCACCCACGUCCAUAUUGUGAGGACUGGGGACCUGAGUAUAAGUAUAAGUUAUGUAUUUGUUGGCAUGAUUGUUAUAAAAAGUAACAGAGAUCUCAUUUAUAAAAUACUUUGGAUAUAAAUAUAUAUCCAAGGAAUUAAGGAUAAGGGAUUUUGUAAGUUUGAUA